CCAUGUAUGAUGUAGUGGUUUGAGUGUUGGACUACAACUCUGGAGACUAGGGUUCAAUUCCCAGUGGGUGAC